UACGUAGGGACCAAGCGUUGUUCGGAUUUACUGGGCGUAAAGGGCGCGUAGGCGGCUUGUCAAGUCACUUGUGAAAUCUCUGGGCUUAACCCAGAACGGCCAAGUGAAACUGACAUGCUAGAGUGCAGAAGGGGCAAUCGGAAUUCUUGGUGUAGCGGUGAAAUGCGUAGAUAUCAAGAGGAACACCUGAGGUGAAGACGGGUUGCUGGGCUGACACUGACGCUGAGGCGCGAAAGCCAGGGGAGCAAACGGG
rnacentral:rRNA from 2 species